UCAACUUGAGAGUUUGAUCCUGGCUCAGAACGAACGCUGGCGGCAGGCUUAACACAUGCA
rnacentral:rRNA from 1 species